AACGAACGCUGGCGGCAGGCCUAACACAUGCAAGUCGGACGAUCCCUUCGGGAUAGUGGCGGACGGGUGAGUAACGCGUGGGAAUAUGCCCUUCUCUACGGAAUAGUCCUGGGAAACUGGGGGUAAUACCGUAUACGCCCUUCGGGGGAAAGAUUUAUCGGAGAAGGAUUAGCCCGCGUUGGAUUAGGUAGUUGGUGGGGUAAUGGCCUACCAAGCCGACGAUCCAUAGCUGGUUUGAGAGGAUGAUCAGCCACACUGGGACUGAGACACGGCCCAGACUCCUACGGGAGGCAGCAGUGGGGAAUCUUAGACAAUGGGGGAAACCCUGAUCUAGCCAUGCCGCGUGAGUGAUGAAGGCCCUAGGGUUGUAAAGCUCUUUCAGAUGGGAAGAUAAUGACGGUACCAUCAGAAGAAGCCCCGGCUAACUCCGUGCCAGCAGCCGCGGUAAUACGGAGGGGGCUAGCGUUGUUCGGAAUUACUGGGCGUAAAGCGCGCGUAGGCGGAUUGGAAAGUUAGAGGUGAAAUCCCGGGGCUCAACCCCGGAACGGCCUUUAAAACUAUCAAUCUAGAGUUCGAGAGAGGUGAGUGGAAUUCCGAGUGUAGAGGUGAAAUUCGUAGAUAUUCGGAGGAACACCAGUGGCGAAGGCGGCUCACUGGCUCGAUACUGACGCUGAGGUGCGAAAGCAUGGGGAGCAAACAGG
rnacentral:rRNA from 1 species